UAUUUAAUUAAUUCUACUAGUAGUUAUAUACUUAUUUUAAAGAUUAAACUAUAUAUAUUUAAAUUUAAGUAAUUAAACUGUAAAAUUGCAAAUAGCUUAUUAAAUUAGUUAUAGUUUAUUUAAUAGUACUUUAUUAUAUAAAUAACUAUAGUAAUUCUAGAACUAAUAUAUAUUAAAAACCCUAAUUUCGGAAGGGGUAUAUUUAUUAAAUUAAAAACUAAUACCCUUCGGGGCUAAUUAGUAAUUUAUAAUAACUUUUCGAAUUAUAUAGCCUUACGCUAGCGAUGGUUUAUUUAAAUUUCUACCCUAUUAAUUUUCAACGGCUGGGUUUUGGCUAACUAUAGUAAUAAUAGGUAACGGAGGGUUAGGGCUCGACCCCGGAGAAGGAGUUUAAAAAACGGCUACUAUAUUUAAGGAAGGUAGUAGGCGUGUAAAUUACCUAAUUCCAAUACAGGGAGGUAGUAAUAAUAAAUACUAAUAUAGGGCUUUUUUGAGUUUUAUAAUUAGAAUAAAUAUAAUUUAAAUUCCUUAAUGAGGAAUAAUUGGAAGGUAAGUUUAGUAUUAGUAAUUGCGGUAAUUUUAGCUCUAAUAGUGUAUAUUAAAAUUAUUAAAGUUAAAAAACUUAUAGUUAAACCUUGGGCUCGGCCUAUUAGUCCGUUUUACUAUAUGUAUUAAUUGGGUUAGGCCUUUUUUCUUAGAGAAUUAUAUACCCUUUAUUGGGUGUGUUAGGGAAUUAGGACUUUUAUUAUAAAUAAAUUAGAUUGCUUAAAGAAGGCCUAUAUUCGAAUAUACUAGUAUAGAAUAAUAAAAUAGAAUAUAUAGUUCUAUUUUAUUAGUUUCUAGGAUUAUUAUAAUAAUUAAUAGGGAUAGUCGGAGGUAUUAAUAUUUAAUUAUUAGAAGUAAAAUUCUUAAAUUUAUUGAAGAUUAAUUAUUACGAAAAUAUUUACUAAGGAUGUUUUUAUUAAUUAGGAACGAAAGUUAGGGGAUUAAAGACAAUUAAAUAUUAUUAUAAUUUUAAUUAUAAAUUAUACCGAUUAGGGAUUGGACAGUAUUAUUUUUUGACCCGUUUGGUACUUUACAAUAAAUUAAAAUAUUUGGGCUCUUGGGGGAGUAUAGUUGUAAGGUUAAAAUUUAAAGAAAUUAAUGGAAGGGUAUUACUAGGGGUGGAGUUUGCGGUUUAAUUUGAUUUAAUAUAGGGAAAUUUAUUAAGUUUAAAUAUAAUAAGGAUUAAUAAAUUAAGAAUUCUUUUUUAAUUUUAUAGGUAAUAGUAUAUAGCUAUUCUUAAUUAGUAGAAUAAUUUAUUUAUUUAAUUAUAAUAACGAACGAGAUUUUAAUUUAUUAAAUAAUCUAUAUUACUUUAGUAGUACAUUAGCUUUUUAGAAGGACUAUUAGUUUAAGCCAAUAGAAGUUUAAGGUAAUAAUAGGUUUAUAAUACCUUUAAAUAUUCUAGGCUGUAUAUAUACUAUAUUAAUAUAGUUAGUAAGUAUUCCUUUGGCCGGAAGGUCCGGGUAAUUUUGUUAAAUUGUAUUGUAUUAGGGAUAGAGUAUUAUAAUUAUUACUCUUUAAUAAGGAAUCCCUAGUAAAUGUAAAUUAUUAAUUUAUAUUAAUUACGUCCCUGCCCUUUAUAUAUACUGCCCGUCGCUACUAUUAAUUAAAUAGUUUAGUAAGGCUUCCGGAUUAGUUUAGGGAGGUUGGUAACGACUAUUUAGGGCCGGAAAGUUAUUUAAAUUUAGUUAUUUAAAGGAAGUAAAAGUUAUAAUAAAGUCUCUAUUGGUAAAUUAGUGGAGGGAUUAUUA
rnacentral:rRNA from 15 species